AGAAACAAAAAGAAGAAGAGAGGGGUACAACUGCGAGUGAACUGUUCAAUCUGAGAUAAUUUGACUUUAGUGCGCGGACCGGGGAGACGGCGAAAAUGGAGGGAUCUUUUCACGAGCAUCCAUACGUACCCAGAGAUCUAAAGCUCCCUGGUUUCGUGCCUGUUUCCCUCUCUCAGUCCACCAUUGUCGGCGUCUAUGGCAUCUCUUCCCUGCUUGUCGUCUCUCUCGUCUGGCUUUUCUCCGGGAGAUCACUCAAAAAUUCUAAUAUUGACCGAUGGCUAAUGUGCUGGUGGGCUUUCACAGGCCUAACCCAUAUCAUUCUUGAGGGUUAUUUUGCUUUCUCUCCUGAAUUUUACCGGGACAAAACUGCUAAUUACCUGGCCGAAGUCUGGAAAGAAUACAGCAAAGGUGAUUCAAGAUAUGCAGCGAGGGAUGCAGGAACCGUUGUUGUUGAAGGUCUAACUGCAGUUUUUGAGGGUCCAGCUAGCCUUUUAGCAGUGUAUGCAAUAGCUACAAGAAAGUCAUAUAGCUAUAUACUACAGUUCGCCAUUUCUCUGGGCCAGCUUUAUGGAACUGCUGUAUAUUUCCUAACUGCUUAUUUGGAAGGUGAUAACUUUGCUGCAAGCCCAUAUUACUACUAUGCAUACUAUAUUGGAGCGAAUGCCUCAUGGGUUGUGAUACCCACACUCAUUUCCAUGCGCUGUUGGAAGAAGAUCUGUGCUGCAAUCCAGGUCCAAGGCCAGAAAAAAACAAAAGCCCGCUGAGCAGGGGAAACAUUCUUCUGCUAUUCACCAAUGUGUCAAUGUGUCCCGACAAGCUUGAUGAGGCAAAAUAUUCAGCUUUACCUUAGGGGAUUGAUGUCGUUCUGCUGAAAAUAAAGGGAGCCCGGUACCACCACAACUACCAUUGACUUGGCCCUCGCCAUCCCAAAGUAGUUCCUAUACAAAGGAAGGAACUCCAAAGGAAAGUUUGUGAACACUUUGACCAAAGUUUCAAAGUGGUUUGUCGUUUAGAUGCUAUCCAUACCUAUACUGAUGGCUAUAGUUAUACCUGUUUUGUUUUGAUACUAUGAUCGAUGUAAUCCCACUUCAGGUGGAUAAGUACUAGUUCUACUUCAUUGUUUCUCUGCUUA